rfam:Trichobilharzia regenti genome assembly, scaffold: TRE_scaffold0005758
AUCCAGUUGACGAGUCCCAAAUAGGACGAAAUGCGCUUUAUCUUGGAU